rnacentral:rRNA from 1 species
UACGGGGGGAGCAAGCGUUGUUCGGAUUUACUGGGCGUAAAGGGCGCGUAGGCGGCGCAACAAGUCACUUGUGAAAUCUCCGGGCUUAACCCGGAGCGGCCAAGUGAUACUGUCGUGCUAGGGUGCGGAAGGGGCUACUGGAAUUCUCGGUGUAGCGGUGAAAUGCGUAGAUAUCGAGAGGAACACCUGCGGCGAAGGCGGGUUGCUGGGCUGACACUGACGCUGACAGCGCGAAAGCUAGGGGAGCGAACGGG